CACGAUUCUGGAGUCGAUGUAACGAAAUACCUUUCAGGAAGCUGAAGAAAAGCCAAAGCUGAGACUCGAUGAGUUUUAAAGUUAUGAGAAACCAUAAGAAGGAACUACACAAGUUUCUUGUUAUUGUUUCUCGUAAAUGUGAACAGUAGGAGACUAAACCAACCAAUUUUGGAUAGAGAAAAUAUUGGAUCAGUACAACGUCCAUCUAGUACGCCAAGGGUUAUAUAGGUGAAAACAGCGGAAAAAGUUAACGAACAGAUGAAGUAUUUCUGUCGGUGAUGGAAUAACUGAAGCCAAGCUUUUCUUCUCGUUAAAGAAAAGAUCAAUAAGCUGACAGAUAGCACAAGGUGACAUUUCUCUUCUUUUUUACGUAACGUGAAUUUGCGUUGAUAAAAUGUGAUAACACAUU